rnacentral:rRNA from 1 species
AUGAACGCUAGCUACAGGCUUAACACAAGCAAGUCGAGGGGCAGCAUGGUCUUAGCUUGCUAAGGCCGAUGGCGACCGGCGCACGGGUGAGUAACACGUAUCCAACCUGCCGUCUACUCUUGGACAGCCUUCUGAAAGGAAGAUUAAUACAAGAUGGCAUCAUGAGUCCGCAUGUUCACAUGAUUAAAGGUAUUCCGGUAGACGAUGGGGAUGCGUUCCAUUAGAUAGUAGGCGGGGUAACGGCCCACCUAGUCUUCGAUGGAUAGGGGUUCUGAGAGGAAGGUCCCCCACAUUGGAACUGAGACACGGUCCAAACUCCUACGGGAGGCAGCAGUGAGGAAUAUUGGUCAAUGGGCGAGAGCCUGAGCCAGCCAAGUAGCGUGAAGGAUGACUGCCCUAUGGGUUGUAAACUUCUUUUAUAAAGGAAUAAAGUCGGGUAUGGAUACCCGUUUGCAUGUACUUUAUGAAUAAGGAUCGGCUAACUCCGUGCCAGCAGCCGCGGUAAUACGGAGGAUCCGAGCGUUAUCCGGAUUUAUUGGGUUUAAAGGGAGCGUAGAUGGAUGUUUAAGUCAGUUGUGAAAGUUUGCGGCUCAACCGUAAAAUUGCAGUUGAUACUGGAUAUCUUGAGUGCAGUUGAGGCAGGCGGAAUUCGUGGUGUAGCGGUGAAAUGCUUAGAUAUCACGAAGAACUCCGAUUGCGAAGGCAGCCUGCUAAGCUGCAACUGACAUUGAGGCUCGAAAGUGUGGGUAUCAAACAGGAUUAGAUACCCUGGUAGUCCACACGGUAAACGAUGAAUACUCGCUGUUUGCGAUAUACGGCAAGCGGCCAAGCGAAAGCGUUAAGUAUUCCACCUGGGGAGUACGCCGGCAACGGUGAAACUCAAAGGAAUUGACGGGGGCCCGCACAAGCGGAGGAACAUGUGGUUUAAUUCGAUGAUACGCGAGGAACCUUACCCGGGCUUAAAUUGCAGAUGAAUUACGGUGAAAGCCGUAAGCCGCAAGGCAUCUGUGAAGGUGCUGCAUGGUUGUCGUCAGCUCGUGCCGUGAGGUGUCGGCUUAAGUGCCAUAACGAGCGCAACCCUUGUUGUCAGUUACUAACAGGUUCUGCUGAGGACUCUGACAAGACUGCCAUCGUAAGAUGUGAGGAAGGUGGGGAUGACGUCCAAUCAGCACGGCCCUUACGUCCGGGGCUACACACGUGUUACAAUGGGGGGUACAGAGGGCCGCUACCACGCGAGUGGAUGCCAAUCCCCAAAACCUCUCUCAGUUCGGACUGGAGUCUGCAACCCGACUCCACGAAGCUGGAUUCGCUAGUAAUCGCGCAUCAGCCACGGCGCGGUGAAUACGUUCCCGGGCCUUGUACACACCGCCCGUCAAGCCAUGGGAGCCGGGGGUACCUGAAGUGCGUAACCGCGAGGAGCGCCCUAGGGUAAAACUGGUGACUGGGGCU